rnacentral:rRNA from 1 species
AAGCUCGUAGUUGAAUUUCCGGUCUGGCUGGACGGUCCGCCCUUCGGGUGAGUACUGUCUGUGGUCGGGUCCUACCUUCUGGCGAAGCGUCAUGGCCUUAACCGGCCGUGGCGGGGAACCAGGACUUUUACUGUGAAAAAAUUAGAGUGUUCAAAGCAGGCAAUCGCUUGGAUACAUUAGCAUGGAAUAAUGGAAUAGGACAAUGGUUCUAUUUGUUGGUUUCUAGGACCGUUGUAAUGAUUAAUAGGGAUAGUUGGGGGCAUUAGUAUUCAAUUGUCAGAGGUGAAAUUCUUGGAUUUAUUGAAGACUAACUACUGCGAAAGCAUUUGCCAAGGAUGUUUUCAUUAAUCAAGAACGAAAGUUAGGGGAUCGAAGACGAUCAGAUACCGUCGUAGUCUUAACCAUAAACUAUGCCGACUAGGGAUCGGAUGAUGUUAUUUUUAAUGACUCAUUCGGCGCCCUACGGGAAACCAAAGUGUUUGGGUUCCGGGGGGAGUAUGGUCGCAAGGCUGAAACUUAAAGGAAUUGACGGAAGGGCACCACCAGGGGUGGAGCCUGCGGCUUAAUUUGACUCAACACGGGGAAA